rnacentral:lncRNA from 1 species
CUCUUUAACCAACACACUAACAACAAAAUAAAGGGGGACCCACCACUAACAAAUGGAUGGACAAUACACGAUUCUUCUCCAUUAUUUCUACACAUUACACACACUCACAUAUGAAAUAGGAAGCUGAUAGACAUAUACAGUAGGCCAUAUACACACAAAUAGAGAGAAAAAUGGCACACACUCACCAUUCUCAUACAUAGGGCACCUCACUGGACGGAGAGAGGGUUUUUUCCUUUUUCUUCUACACAUAGUAAAGCACACACAUAGAGUAGAGAGGGACGGACAAACACUGAUAUACUCACCAGUGUACACCCACAACAACAUUACCCCCAGAAUAAAUCAAUAUACUCACACGCACAUCUUGAUCGGAGAAUAAAAAAUGGGUAAAGUCGAGUGAAAGCAGAGGAGAGGUUGAUCAAAGGAAGGAUCGAGAGAGAGAACUGGUCGGAGAGAGGAAGAAAUGGAGAGGAGAAGGAGAUAUUUGAGCGAGAGAGGAGAGAAAAGGGAUUGGGGCUGACUGUUCCAACGUUCUUGGACGGGAAUAGCAUCCUUUCACCAGAAAACAUUUAAUUCCGGUCACCACUAAUUCGAAUUGAUCAUUUUUUAGCCUGACUUUGGUUAAUUUUCAUCUGGAAACAGUCAUAUAGGCUUCUGGUUUUUUCUCGUUUGGUGCCUUGAUUUCAAUUUUGUUUUCAUUUGUUCUUUGUGGAGCCUUACUCAAAAGUGGGUCUGAGUAAAUUGGAGUUCGAGAUCGAAGUUGUUGAUUUGGGUUCGUGUAACAUCCCAUACUUUUAGACUUGAAUGUAAAUUGUUAUUUCUACUUGUACACAUUCCAAAAACCAUAAAUGUAUUGUUAAUAUAGUGUUUUAAUCAACUAUGUGGUGUAUAAAUCUAGUUGAGCAUUAAUUGAGAUCAUAGAGGUCCCCUAACACAAGGACGAGUUGAAAGCCUUUCCAUAGAUUGAGUUCUAGUAAGCAUCAAAACUUGGGUCAACUUCAUUCAAUAAUUACUCUAUAUAUUGAAUUAGAGUGCCUACUAUAUAUCAAAUGAAAGGCCUUCGAAUUAUCUUUCCAACAAUACCAAUUUCGCAAAAAUCUGACACCCGAGGAAGAAUUUAUGGCUUUGCAAAGUGGAGUGUGCCGUGCAGCAUAAGGUGUGCGACGCACACCCUAACUUAUGCCAUAAGGUGUGCGACGCACAACCUAAUGUGUUUGAUAAAGAGUGUGCCACACAACCUAUAUUAUACGAUAAGGUGUGCGCCACAUACAUUACUACUCAAGUGACUUAAACACUCCAUUUUUAAGGCAAAAUGGUCCUUUUCCCACCCUUAUUUCACCAUAAACACGAAAUUCAGUCUCCAAAUACCCCAAAAUACACCUUCAUUCAUCAAAAUUGCUAAAGAACUCUCCUUAGGAUUUCAAAAUAAAAACACAACUAACUCAAGAUUCAACCGUGGAUUUUUUAAACUAAUUGCAUAUUUGGAAUUCCUAGAACGUAGGCUUCAAGAAACACCUAUCAUCUUCGUAUAUAAAGGUACAUGGGGUUAUCUCAAAAAUCUCAUGGGCUUAAAAUUUCAUGUUUUCAAAAUGGGGUUUUGAAACUACGAAUAUAAUCAUGUUUUGAACGUUUCUAUAAUAUUGAUUUGGUCUUUAGGUUUAUUUCGGAAGUGAUUUGACAUAUUAUAUAUGUAUAUGCAUGUGUUUCAAAAAGGUGUUAAUUUGAGAGCAUGAAUUAUAUGGAAUCCCUCUCUUGAUGUGAAAUUAUUUUAAAUGUUCAUAUGAUGUAAAUUGAUUGAAAACAUCUUCAAAAGCAUGACAUGAAAUGUUUUGAGAAUUGAUAUGAUUUGACUUGAAAACGAGAGGGCUAUUUGUGUUGAAACAUGUUAAAUACAAUGAUUGAAUGAGAAUAAUGAUAUGAUAUUGAUGGCUUGCAAGUCGGGUAUGACUAUACCCUACAAAAUAUGAUAUGUGAUUGAAUUAGAUGAAAUUUGAAUGCAUUAAUUUUACAUGAGAUAGGUGGAUGCCCGAAGAAGGCGUUUGAGUGUAAGAGCUCAUCGCUGAAAAUCGUGUUUACCGACAUGGGAAUUUGGUACCCUGCUUUGUGAUCUUGCGUACCUGACUUUAUGUCAUUCCCAAGUUGGGACUAUGGUUAGGAGCCCUGCUUUGUGAUCUUGUGCACUACCAUUGGGUCGAGACACCCUGCUGUGUGAUCUUAUGUGUCUUCCCUUCACUUAUACUCUAAUCUCGGUGGCAACUGAGGUUUGACAAUUGGUGUAAAUGUGAUAUGUAGGGUAUUCCACCUAGCUCAGCUGCAUUACAUUGUUGUUGAAAAUAAUUAUAUUACGCCAAUGUGUUUUUAAAUGAUUUGAUAUGAAACUGCUUUAUAAUGGAUCUCAACUAUAUUUUGUAAAAAUAUUAUGUUUUAUUUUGGUAUCUUUGCGUACCAGUACUUUUGUAUUGACCCACUUCCCUCCCAAUUUCGAAGGCACAGUCUAGAGGUCCAGAAAAUCAAUAGAUUCCUUAGACAGAUUUGCAGAGUCACUUGGUGAGCCUUUUAUAUUUCGGAAGGCCUGAUAUCUGGCAGUUUCAUUUAUCAUUUAUUAGUUUUGGAUCUACUGGGGCCUUGUCCUAGUUUUCAGAUAGAUAUUUAUUUCAGUUAUGUAGUAGAGAUUUCACAGAUGUUAUAGUUGAGAUUGUGGGAUAUUAUUCCCUGUUAUUGAUUUCAUAUGAUUCUUGACCAUGUUUCUGUAAUAUUAUUUAUAUUCUAUAUUUCUUUUAUCAUAUGAGUUAUGUGCAUGAUUAUCAGACAAAUUAGGGUGUUUCGGGCCUUCAUGGUUCGAAAUGCUCAUCACGGCCAGGGCCCCGGUUCGGGUCGUGACAAACUUGGUAUCAAAUCAUGGUUCAUGGUCCGAGGGUGUCUGCGAAAUCGCGUCGGGUAGAGUCUUGUUUAUAGGUGUGUAGUGCGCCAUGCUUAUAAGUAAGAGGCUACUACGCAUUUAGGAAUGUUUCUCUUUCUUCAUGUUUCGGUUCGUGCAAUAGAGUCAAAAUAUUCCUCUUUCAUACUGUCAUUCGUGCUAUGGUGUCGCCCAUAUGAAGGUAAAGUCAUCCCAAAUUCUUUCCUUACUCUGAUGUUCUCAGACAUGUCCCAUUAUUGGGGUGAUUCAAGUGCGAAAAGUUUAGAAUCUACAUGAUAUAGUCCUUUUCGAUUGAGCCAUAUAAGAUUUUCCAAAAUUAUGAAAAGACUCGAGAGGGGUCUUUUAGUGCUUCAAUAUAUGUUGAUUCUGAUGUAAACAUUGAUCCUGAUGGAAUCGUGCUUUCCAGCUUAAGGUAUCAAGUGUAUCUAGUCCCUCUCAAAAAUCUUGAUACAGAUGUGGACGAUGUAUAAUUGAAUGUUGGAACUGUAUUUCCACUCGAAUAUUAGCACAAGUUAAAGUGUUGUUGUCAUGACCUAUCGGUAAUGAAAUUAGACCAAGAAGUUAGUGAUGUGAAGUCACAAAGUUAGAAGCCAGAGUGAGGGUGAUUUUUAUGUAAAUAAAUAUUUCAGUUGAAUAACCGAUGUUUGAGGAUGAUUUACCCCUUUAUAGUGAUAAACUAAUGUGGUAGCUAGUAGCACGUGUGGAUGAUAUGGUAGUCCAUGGGGAAGUGUCUUACUCAGAUUUUUAUUUAUACAGAGUAAGAUGUGUAUUCUUAGACCAUUAAAUAUUAUGUGUAAAUUUUCUAUCUCAUGUAAUAUGUAAUCUUGUUAUCACGGUGUUUUCGAAAAAAAAAUAUAAAAAAAUUUGAAGUCUAGUGAAGCCGUGUGGGUCUCUUUCGAUUCAAUAGCAUAGUUGCCUUGUUAUUCAUCUUAUUUUUCGGUUCAAAAAUACAAAAUCGGAGUCUAGUGAAGUCAUGUGAGGCCUAUUUUGAUUCACUAGCAACUUGUUGUCCAACUUGUUGUUCUUUUGUUGGUUUAUUAUAUGUAUGGCUGAAUCUUUUUGCAUGAGAUUGAGUUGGUAAAGAGGUGAUUCGUCCUUGUGAGUUAGUUUAGUAUAAGGUAGAGAAGGAGUUGUUAGUCAGGGUGAUUUGUUGGUUGCUUGAAUGUGAAAAAUGACUAUAUUAGCGAGUAAGUUAUGAUUAUAGACUCAUGGUUGUUUGAGGAAUUUGAAGGCAGUCUAAAUGGAUGCUUGAGUAAGUAAGUAUGAAGUGACAAAUCCGCAUAAGUAGAUAAGAUCGUAUGGGGUUAAUAUCAGAUUAAGGUUGAUCAUGUCUAUUAUGUGACCUUAUCCCUUGACUUUUUUCGUUGGUAGUUGUAAACUAGUACUACUUAUGAGAAGGUAUGUAAUAAAUUAUGAGGUAUUUGGAUAGAAUAUUCCAAUUUGAUGGAUUAGUAUAUUAUGUUGCACUCGUCAUUGGUGGUAGACGAUUGACGCUAAACUAUAGGCUUGAAUUCAAGUGUAGAAUGUGGUGGUAAAAAUAGUGGCAUGAGAUUAAUGAUGUAUGUUUUGAAUUUAGUAGGCUUGAUGUGUUGAAAUAGUACAUGAUAAUGAGUUAUGAUAAGGAAGACCGUAAGGUCAAGUGUUUCUUGAUGUUUAUUUCAUGGUUUCCAAGUGAGAAUCACGCGUGAGGUUGGGUUGAAAAAUCAUGUUUAGCACUAGACCUUAAGUUUUGAACAAUUGAAGUCCAUAAAGGUGGAUGUGAUGAUUUCUUGGUUAAUGAUGCUCGUUAUAUGGUAAUGUAAGUGAUCUAAUAGGCUUGAACGAUGUAUGAAAUGGCUUAAGUUUAAGUUGAUUCGUAAUGAAGUAUAAUGUUGUAGGUAUGGUGUGUAAGUAUGCCCAAGGCGAUAUGGAGUUGUGGCAUUUCCUAUCACAUGUUGCGUGUGACUAGUGGUACCGUUGAGUUGCUAGUUGGAAAAAGACUAGUUAGAUGGUAUAUGGUGUUCUAGAUAGCAAAGUUAAGGAGCCUUGAUUGAUAGUGUUGAACCCUUUGAUGUGAUCUCGAUUCUCAUAGUAGAGAGAUAUAAGUUUGGAGUAGCAAUAUUGGUAUGCUAGGACGGAAGUGGUAUGGUUCAUCAAAGGCUUGGUGAUAUCCAUGUUAAGUGUUAGAAUCUAAGUUUGAGUUUUGAAAGUUGAAUCGAUAGAAAUAAGUGUGCAACCAUUAUACUAUGACUAUUGGGGCUAUCGAAAUAUAGAGUGUAUCUCAGAAGGUAGUAUUAGCAGUGGGUUUUCCCCUUUCAUAUGUGGGCUUUCGCGUUAAGUUCUAUUAAGUUUGUGUAUUGUCAUAUUUCAGACCCCAGAGUGCAGUGAGUACGGUUAAGUUUAAAGUCUAGUAAAGGAUCUCCCAAACUUAAGAUGAUGGCUUAAAGCCAAGAGGGAGAUGAUAGAACGAAUAACCAAGUCAGGCUCUCAGAUUCUAGUAGUGAUGUCAUGAUGACAUAGAACGUCAGAAAGUGAGAGUGAGACUCAACCCAUUCCUAUCUCAGUAUUUUUCAGUGAUCCCAAUACAUACUCAUGCCUUACAUGUCAGUUCGAUAAUCGUAGUUCAUGAUCAUUCUUGUGAUAGCGAAUUAUGUACUCUUCCAGUUCUAAAAUGAAAAUUUCCAGUUCAUUCUGCAGUUGGAAUUACAUUCCAUAUGUUACAAACUCCAAAUUUAGGUCAUGCAGCUUAUGAAAUAUAUGUUUGCGCCCUAUAGUAUGCUCAAUCUCCAUAACUCAUGUUUUACGCCAAAUGAUUGGCGAGAUUCAGCUUAUAGCCAUGAAUACCCUAAAUUCAGAGUGCUUUGAUAAAUCCCAAAUGUUGAUUUGUUAUUCCUCAUGCCUUAGUUAAGUGUUAAGUUUCAUAUAAUACCCUUCUAUGUUUCAAAAUCUUAUGUUUUAGCCUUUUGUGACUCCUUCUUAUGUGAGGAUGGUUGUGAGGAGUAAAUGUUUUCCUGUUGAUAAAAAGCAUAGUAUGCUUGUUUUAGAUAAGGCCUUAAGUGUUAAGUAAGUUUGGGGCCAAAUCUUUGAUAUAUGUGAUGGUUAGUGAGAAUUUAUGUGUGUAUGUUCUUAGGGUAGCGCAUAGGAGUUAUAUUGAUAGUGGUUUAGAGAAUAUGUGAAGUAUGUCCUUAUGGGUGUUUACCUUGGAGGUCAUAUGUGGUUAUAAAGAUAGGCUUGAAUGACAUGUUGGGAUUUAAGUGGCGGGACAUAAUAUACUCUAGUAAAUCCAUAGUAAGAGUUCAGAGCUAGUCGUUCAAGCGGUAAGGCACAUUAUGCUUAGGGUGUGAUCUCCAAAGAGGAUACAGAAGACUGAAUCAUAUGGUUUAGACUAGUAUCGUGGUGUGGCAUGUUGUAUUUUGUGAUUUAAAAUUAGGAUUGAUCACCAUGAAAGGAUUUAAGCUACUUUAGACACUAGUAGAAAGAUUUAUAAGGAUUAUAACUUGAAUCAAUGAGUAUGGUAAUUAAGGAGAAUAGUAAGUUAAGGGAUACUCGAGAAGUGUGCUAAGCUUGAAAGUAAGAAGUCGCAUUGACUAAGGCCUGGUAAUUCUAUCCUGAUUUAUGAGUUAUAUGUCUAUAUUCCAGACUGCAGAGUAGUGUAAAUGUUGUGAUUUCCUCAAUUGGAUGUCUCGUGUAAUCCAUACCUAAGAUUCAUGGCUCCCUAUUACUUCUAGAACUUCUUUAGAGAGAGUAUUGAAGAGAUACUCCAGAUUGAGUAUAAGUUUCCAGUAUAGUUCAGUCUAUGUGGCCAGCAAAUCAGUUUAGCAGUCAGAUUCACAUGACUAGUUUUCUCGUCUCGUUAUUUAAUCAUGCUACCCAAAAUCUCAGAUAUGUUACUAUUCCAAGGUAGAGUAUAAUAGUAUUUGUGAGUAUAGGUCAAUUCAUGCGUCAUGUACUAGAUUCAGAUUCCUGAUGUUCAAAUAUGAUUAAAUUUGUCGGUGCCUAGUUCAUCGCCUCAGUUUCUGAGCAUCUUAGUGAAUUGAGCAUUCAUAGAGGGACAUAGGGUCCGAAGGAGGAUAUACCCCAUUCAGUUGCAUGCAUAGAUUCUUAUUACAAUCUCCGCACCAGUUAUUAUUGCGUAUUCAGUCAUACGUUCAUACGUCAGUUUAGUCAGAUAUACAUGCAUUAGAAAUGCAUGUCCAAUAGAAGAAGUUCAGCUUAUCAGUGUAUUUAGUUCUACUUUCAUGAGAACAACUCAGCAACAAAUCCAUGCAUCAGGUAUGCAUGUUCAUUAUGAGAACUCAGCUUAUGAGUAGCUUCAGUCGUGUAUUCCAUGCAUCAGAUAUGCAUGUCCGAUAUAAGAAUUCAGAAUAUCAGUAGUUUCAGCCAUAUGGUCAUGUUUCAGAUCAGUGUAUUCUUUAUUAGAGGACAUGUCGUGUCCGCAUUAUUCCAUACCUCUAAGGCAUCAACAAGUUCCUACCCAUCAUUCGAGGAUGAAUGAUCCCAAGGGGGAGAUAAUGUAACACCCCAUACUUUCAGACUUGAACGUAAAUUGUUAUUUCUACUUGUACACAUUCCAAAAAUCAUAA